CCUGCCUCAACCUCUCAAGUAGCAGGGAUUACAAGUGUGUGCCACCACACCUGGCUAAUUUUUGUAUUUUUAGUAGAGACAGGGUUUCACCAUGUUGCCCAGGCUGGUGGUGAACUGACCUCAAGUGAUCUGCCUGCCUCGGCUUCCCGAAGUGCUGAGAUUACAGGCAUGAGCCACUAUGCCUGUUUUUUGUUUUUGUUUUUGAUGGAAUCUCGCUCUGUUCCUGAGGCUGAGGUGCAGUAGCCUGAUCUCGGCUCACUGCAACCUCCGUCUCCUGGGUUUAAGCGAUUCCUCUGCCUCAGCCUUCCAGGUAGCUGGGACUACAAGCUCCUGCCACCAUGCCCAACUAAUUUUUGUGUUUUUAGUAGAGAAGGGGUUUCAUCAUGUUGGCCAGGCUGGUCCCAAACUCCUGACCUCAGAACCAGGCUUUGAAGCGCCCCACAGGGGGAUGGAUCCAAUGAAAACCUGGAGAGAUGAGCAGCACAGAUACUACCCCAACCCAGGCACACCUCCAUAGAGAUUGGAUAGAAAGGUUUAGAUACAUUUUGCACUGAAAGGAACAAUUGUAGGACUCAAUUUCUUUUUUCUUUUCUUUUCUUUUUUCUUUCUUUCUUUCUUUUUUUUUUUUUUCUGAGACAGAGUCUCGCUCUUGUUGCCCUGGCUGAAGUGCAAUAUCACGAUCUUGGCUCACUGCAACCUCCAUCUCCUGGGUUCAAGCGAUUCUCUUGCCUCAACCUCCCAAGUAGCUGGGAUUACAGGCAUGCACCACCAUGCCCGGCUAAUUUUUGUAUUUUUAUGAGAGAUGAGGUUUCACCAUGUUGGUCAGGCUGGUCUCGAACUCCUGACCUCAAGUGAUCCACCCGCCUCAGCCUCCCAAAGUGCUAGGAUUACAGGCAUGAGCCACUGUGCCUGGCCAUAGGAUUCAAUUUCUUUUUUCGAUGGGGAUUCAAUUUCUUAAAUUACUUUGGUUAUACGGAUGUUAGCUAUGAUUGUAUUUAAUUAAAAGCUAUGUGCUAAUCUCACAUGGAAUCCUGGAUUGGAUUCUAGAAUGGAAAAAAGGAAUGAAUUGAAAAGCUGGUAAGAUUCCAAUAAAGGCUGGAUGUGAUAGCUCACACCUGUAAUCCCAGCACUUUGGGAAGCCAAGGUGGGUGGGUGAAACCCUGUCUCUACAAAAAAUUAAAAAAUUAGCCAGGUGCAGUGGCACAUGCCUGUAGUCCCAGCUACUUAGGAGGCUGAGGUGGAAGAAUCACCUGAACCCAGGAGGCGGAGGCUACAGUGAACUAUGAUUGCACCACUGCACUACAGCCUGGCUCACAGAGUAAGACCCUGCCUCAAAAAUAAAUAAAUGAAUAAAUAACAAAAAAUAAAAAAUUCCCAUAAGGUUGACAGUUUAAUUAAUAGUACUGUUCACAUGUUAAUUUCUUCAUUUUUGUUUAUUAGUUAGUUUUGCUCGAGAGACAGAAUCUUGUAUCGUCAUCCAGGGUGGAGUGCAGUGGCGAGAUCAUAGCUCACUACAGCCUCGAACUCCAGGGCUCAAUCGAUCCUCCCACCUCAGCCUCCUAACUAGCUGGGACUACAGGCACACACCUCCACACCUGGCUAAUUUUUUUUUCUAGAGAUGGGAUCUUGCUGUGUUGCUGAGGCUGGUCUUGAAAUCCUGAGCUCAAGCAAUCCCCCUGCCUCGGCCUCCCAAAGUGCUGGGAUUACAGGCAUGAGUUGCUGUGCCUAAUCUAGACUUACAAGGCCUUCUUUUUCUUUCUUUUUUUUUUUUUUUUUUUUGAGAUGGAGUCUCACUCUGUCGCCCAGGCUGGAGUGUAGUGGCGUGUUCUCGGCUCACUGCAGCCUCUGCCUUCCAGGUUCCAGUGAUUCUCCUGCCUCGGCCUCCCGGGUAGCCGGGAUUACAGGCACAUACCACCAUGCAGGGCUAAUUUUUGUAUUUUUAGUAGAGACAGGGUUUCACCAUGUUGGCUAGGCUGGUCUCGAACCCCUAACCUCAGGUGAUCCACCCGCCUCAGCCUCCCAAAGUGCUGGGAUUACAGGUGUGAGCCAUGGUGCCCAGCCUUACAUGGCUUUCUUAAGCAGCAGCCCUUGCCAUUUAUUGAGCAUCAAGGAAAUGUCAGGAGUUCUCCUAGGAACAAGGGAAACUUCAGUGAGCAAAACACACACACAAAAAAAUCCUUUUGCCCAGACAGAGCUCACUGUGUCUUCCCAACUACAAAGUGGCUCCAAGACAUGGGAUAGAGUCUCCCUGUGACCAGGCAGAUAGAAAGGGGUGAUAGAAAAGCAACCCUUGUGAUAGAAAGGGGUCCUGGCAGAGGUUUUUCAAUAAGUAUCAGUUGGAUAAAGAAAUAGCACGGAGCAGCCAGGCACGGUGGCUCAUGACUGUAAUCCCAGCACUUUGUGAGGCCAAGGUGGGCGGAUCACGAGGUCAGGAGAUUGAGACCAUCCUGGCUAACACGGUGAAACCCCAUCUCUACCAAAAAAAUACAAAAAAAUUAGCCAGGCGUGGUGGCGGGCACCUGUAGUCCCAGCUACUCGGGAGGCUGAGGCAGGAGAAUGGCAUAAACCCGGGAGGCAGAGCUUGUAGUGAGCCGAGAUCGCACCACUGCACUCCAGCCUGGGUGACAGAGCAAGACUCCAUCUCAAAAAAAAAAAAAGAAAAAGAAAAAGAAAAAAAAAAAGAAAUAGCACAGAGCCAGGAUUAGGGUGAAGAGAGUGAAGCAGCACUAAGCCAGUGCAGGAUUUGAUCCAGUUUUUACCUAUAAUGUUGAGAUUUUGUUCUUCAUGGAAUUUUGGUAUUCAUUUUAGAUUUUUAAAAAUAUUGCAUUAAAAUAUUACUUCUUGGCCAGGUGCAGUGCUUUUUGGUACUCCUUUGAACUUU
rnacentral:lncRNA from 1 species